UAUGUGAUCGUCUCUCGCAUAUCAAUAAGCGGAGGAAAAGAAACUAACAAGGAUUCCCCUAGUAACGGCGAGUGAAGCGGGAAGAGCUCAAAUUUGAAAUCUUAAAGGGUUUCCCUUUACGAAUUGUAGUUUAAAGAAGUGUUUUCUGUUGAGGUUUUGGUAAAAGUUCUUUGGAAUAGGACAUCAUAGAGGGUGAGAAUCCCGUAUUUGACCUUUACUUUCAACUUUGUGAUACACUUUCAAAGAGUCGGAUUGUUUGGGAAUGCAGUCCAAAAUGGGUGGUAAAUUUCAUCUAAAGCUAAAUAUUGGCGAGAGACCGAUAGCGAACAAGUACCGUGAGGGAAAGAUGAAAAGAACUUUGAAAAGAGAGUUAAACAGUACGUGAAAUUGUCAAAAGGGAAGCGUUUGACACCAGUGUUGUUUUUCUGAAAAUCAAUUAAAGAACUGUUUAUGCUAGAGCUGUUUAGACUUUAUCAGCUAACUGUUUAGUUUUGAGCUUUUCUUUAAUGCACUUUUCAGUUAACAAGUCAACAUCAAUUUCUUUUGCUGUAAAAAAGCUUGAGGAAGGUGGCUUGAGAUUCGUCUUAAGUGUUUAUAGCCUCUUGCCUAUGCAGUCGGAGAGAUUGAGGUCUGCAGCGUAGAUCCUUCGGGGCUAAAUGCAUUUGUGCUAAGUUAUAGCAUUUUAUAGACAACUUGUUGACUAUGAUUUGUCUUGUAGCUUACUCGCUUAUGUUAUUUUACCUACGCUUAGGAUGUUGAGUAGCGACAUACGCAC
rnacentral:rRNA from 1 species